GUUCAAGCGAAAAAGAGCGUAAGGUGAAUGCCUUGGCACUGAGAGCCGAAGAAGGACGUGAUUACCUGCGAUAAGCCGCGGUUAGAUGGAAAUAAUCUUUGACCCGCGGAUUUCCGAAUGGGGCAACCCCUACGGUGAAGAACCGUAGAUCCGUAACUGAAUACAUAGGUUACGGAAGGGAACCUCCCGAACUGAAACAUCUAAGUAGGGAGAGGAAAAGAAAUCAAACGAGAUUCCGAGAGUAGUGGCGAGCGAAAUCGGAGGAGGCUAAACCAUAUUCAGAAAUGAAUAUGGGGUAUGGACAGACAAAACGCACGGCGAAGCGUAGCCGAACGACAUGGGAAGGUCGAUCAGAGAGAGUGAGAAUCUCGUAGGCGAAACGCUGAACCGGCAGUCUGUAUCCGGAGUAUCUACAGACACGAGGAAUCUGUAGAGAAGGAAGGGGGCCCACCCUCUAAGCCUAAAUACUAAUCAGUGACCGAUAGUGAAGCAGUACUGUGAAGGAAAGGUGAAAAGAACCCCUGGCGGGGAGUGAAAUAGAACCUGAAACCUUAUGUUUACAAGCACACAAAGCGCCAUGAGCGCGAUGUGGUACUUUUUGUAGAACGGUCCGGCGAGUUUAUGUAUGUAGCGAGGUUAAGUACUUAAGGUACGGAGCCGCAGGGAAACCGAGUGUUAAUAGCGCUACAGUUACAUGCAUAAGACCCGAAACCGGGUGACCUAUCCAUGUGCAGGUUGAAGUUGAGGUGAAACUCAAUGGAGGACCGAACCGACCCCCGUUGAAAAGUUGGCGGAUGACGUGUGG
rnacentral:rRNA from 1 species